AACGAACGCUGGCGGCAGGCUUAACACAUGCAAGUCGAGCGCCCCGCAAGGGGAGCGGCAGACGGGUGAGUAACGCGUGGGAAUCUACCCAUCUCUACGGAAUAACGCAUGGAAACGUGUGCUCAUCCCGUAUACGUCCUUCCGGAGAAAGAUUUAUAGGGGAUGGAUGAGCCCGCGUUGGAUUGGCUAGUUGGUGGGGUAAAGGCCUACUAAGGCGACGAUCCAUAGCUGGUCUGAGAGGAUGAUCAGCCACACGGGGAAUGAGACUCGGCCCAGACUCCAACGGGAGGCAGCAGUGGGGAAUAUUGGACAAUGGGCGCAAGCCUGAUCCAGCCAUGCCGCAUAAGUGAUUAAGGCCCUAGAGUUGUAAAGCUCAUUCACCGGUGAAGAUAAUGACGGUAACCGGAGAAGAAGCCCCAGCUAACUUCGUGCCAGCAGCCGCGGUAAGAC
rnacentral:rRNA from 1 species